GGUGAUAGUUUAUGAUAUUUAUAUUUCUAUUUUAUUGUUAAUGUAUUUCUUCUAUUUAUUUAUAAGUAAAAUGUAUAAAAAUAGUUGUUUAGGUUAGAUGGUUAAAUAUCUUAAUUUUUUUAUGGUAAGAAUGUAAAGAACUAUCUUAAAUUUUAAUAUUAUUAAUAUAAUUAGUUAAUAUAAUUCAAUAACCACUUCGUUUUUUUUGAACAAAACCAAACCAUUUGGAUUCAUAAAACCUUUAACCAAAUGGUUUGGAAAUAUAUUUUGGUUUGGUUUAGAUCGGUUUGAGUUUGGUUGGGUCGGUUCGGUUUGGUUUGGUUCAGAUUUUUUGCCCACCCUAUUAUUGGCCCAUUUACAAGAUAUAUAAUGUUUUAAUAGAUAAGAUUUAUAAAGGGGAAUUUGCCAAAAAAAAAUUAUAAAGGGGAAUUUGCCAUUAAUAAGGAAUACGAGUAAUUGUCAUUAAUUAUGCCUUUUUUUCAUUGUUCAGUUCUUUAGGUUUUUUUUUUUUUUAAUACAAGGUGUUUCAUUAAUAAUUCCUUUUUUUUCAUUGUUUAGUUUUUUUUUUUUUGGAAUCCAAGGUGUUUCUGAAUCCGAAACCAAACCGGAUAACUUCCCAAAUCACCAGGUUAUUGGGUCAAUGACGGAUCAAUCGCGGGUCAGUUAAUCAAUUAAUUAACGGAAAUUUGCCAAAACUAGCUCACAACUUAAUUUUAACUCCAAACCUAUAUCCAAACUUGAAUCAAAUGCAAAACUAACUUAAAAUCCUUGUGAAAUUACAGUCCAGCUCCUUGUGACCACAAAAAAACAGAAACUAUAUUUACGAAUAUCACAGUAAGUCGUCUGAGUCGUCUCAAAUGUUGAAAGUCGUCUCGAUGACUUCAAAAUAAGUUUUCUAGUGUAGCUGAUCUUAAAAAUAAUUUUUAAAAUUUUUUAAAAAUAUUUUGAUAAGCGAAAAAUUAAAAUCAUGUAAUUAUAAGCAAUUUUAAGUGAUAUAAAUUAAAAUAUAACAAAAUUGAAUUGUUUUCAACAUAGAUGAGUGUAGAUAAUAAAUCAUGGUAUUCUUUGGUCUAGGGUUUGACAACAUAUGUUGUAGUAUUGUAUGUAUUCUUAGGGUUAGAUUUUGAAAAGCUUGAAUAUUUUUUUGAAAAAAAUAGUUUUUUACAUAUACGUGUUUAUUUUUGUGUAUAGUAAACACUUUUGAAGUUUAAUUUGAUUUUAUGAAGUGUUUAGUUAGUUAAUUAAGUUUAAGGGUUAUGUUUAGGGUCUAGACGACUUACAUUUCAGUCGUCUGGUGAAGAAAUUAAAACAGACGACUUACAUGUAAGUCGUCCAAAUAUUCCCGCCUAAAAUUUUUAAAAAAAUUAUUUUCCCGCUUAAAUAAUUUAAAUGGAAAGUCUUCUAUUUUAGUUUUCCGCUAAAAAUAUUUUAAUUUCUCGCUAAAAAUAUUAAAAUCUUCUGAACGACUUACAAGUAAGUUAUCUAGGAAGUUGUCUGAAUCAAAAAUAUUUAACCUAAUUGGAUUUUUUGUCUCCCUAUAUAAAGAAAAAUUUACACAUUCUCUGUCCUCCUCUCAAAUGGCUGCAACAAAAAUGUAAUGUUCAUAAUUCUAAAACUCUUCAACUUCUCUCUAAUCUCUUUGACUUGAAAACACCAAACUUUAUAUGACUUUUUCAGUUUUGUCUCAUGUAUUUCUUACUAAUAUAUCUCUUUUGCAGGUUUUAAAUCAGAUGGUACUCAUCUUCCACUAAUUUAAAGGUAGAUCUAUUAAUUUUAGAUAUGUAUUUUUGUGUGUUCUAUAUAGGUAGAUUUAUCUAAUCUUCCACUCAUUUUCUUUAUUUUUAAGUCAUUUCAACGUUUUUGGAUAUGCAUGUUUUUCAGAUCUGGAUUUGAAGUCCAGAUGACUUCCAUGAAGUCCAGACGACUUCGAUGAAGUCUUCCAGGACUUCGAUGAAGUCUUCUGACGAAGUCUCCCUUUCAUAAUAGAUCUGAGCGUUUUGGUAAGUUUUUAUGUCUGAUUUUUCUUCAUUUGGUAUAACUUCUUGUUGUAUAAAGUUCUUACUUUUUUCCCAAACUAAAACACUCCAAACCCACUCUAAUCUCUUUGACUUGAAAACACUAAACUUUAUAUGAAUUUUUCAGUUUUGUCUCAUGUCUUUCUUAUUAAUCUAUCUUUUUUACAGGUUUUUAAUCAGAUGGUACUCAUCUUCCACUCAUUUAAAGGUAGAUCUAUUAAUUUUAGAUAUGUAUUUUGUGUGUUCUAUAAAGGUAGAUUAAUCUAAUCUUCCACUCAUUUUUUCUGUUUUUAAGCCACUUGAACGUUUUUGGAUAUGCAGGUUUUUCAGAUCUGGAUUUGAUAUGCAGGUUUUUCAGAUCUGGAAGACUUCUGGGACGACUUACCUGUUAGUCGUCUAAAAUAUAAUGCACUAGACGACUUCCAGGAAGUCUUCCAGACUACUUCCACUUCAGUCGUCUGGACUUCCUGAAAGUCGUCUGGACUUCCUGAAAGUCGUCUAGACUUCCUGAAAGUCGUCUGGACUUCCUGGAAGUCGUCUGGACUUCCUAAAAGUCGUCUAGACUUCCUGGAAGUCUUCUUACAAAGUCUUCUUCCAUAUCAAGUGGAGUCCAAGCUUGUCUUUGUAGAUGAAUGAUCUAUAAUAGUUUUGUUUGUGGUAUGUUUUGUGAAUUGUAUGUCUACUCUUUUAGUUGUAAAUUUUUUGUAAAAUCAGUAAUAAUGUUUCCCAAGAUGUAAUAUAUGUGCUAACAAUGUGUUUACACAUUUACAAAUCAAUGAAAUAAUAGACUUCAGUAGCCUUUUUCUUAUAUUUGGAUCUCUCAUAUGCAAUAAUAAACUCCAAUGGUCUUUUUCUCAUCUUAAUAAACAAGAAUGUUGGUAGCUUUAUAUUGAUACAACAUUUUAAGAAGCAUUUUAACCCUUCUUCCAACUCAUAACAAUAAUCAUCAUUAUUGUCUAUAACAAUAAUACUUAAGAGAUGGAAACAAACAAAAGUAACUAGUCAAAGCAUAUCAUAUUUUUUAUAAGUUUGUGUUGAAAAACUUAGUCAAAUUUAGUAAAACUAAGGGAGAGAACAUAUUUUGUAAAUAUGAGUUUUACAUAUCUUGAAGUUACUUAUAACUUUUAAAAAUACAAGUUAUUCAAAAACUAACGUAGAAGACUUAAAAACUAGCGGAGAAGACUUCCACUGAAGUCUUCUCGGAUCAGUUAGAAACUUUAAUUAACGUGAAUGUUGGUAACCUCAUAAAUAUCACCAAUUAAGUUAUAAUUAAAUUUCAUUCAGUAGCCCAAAUAUUCAUUAAUAAACAUGAAUUAACAAAAAAAUUUUUAAAAGUCUUUAUAGUUUUAGAGAAAAUGCAAGUUUAUUAAACAUUGACACAGACGACAUCCACGGAGGUUAUCUAGUAGACUUCCAGAGAGUCGUCCAUUUAGGUCGACGCGGACGACUUCAAUCUAAGUAUUCCAGAUGACUAAAAUAUAAGUCAUCUGGUCAACGCAGAGGUUAUUUUUGCAAUUGACUUUGAAAUCUGUUAUUUGAGACGACUGGAAAAUAAGUCAUCUAUUUUUUUUUGGUUAAAAAAAACUCCAAAAAAGCUAGAUGACUUACAUUUCAGUCGUCAUAGGUUAGUUUUGCAUUUAACUGGAUUAUUUCAGAAGUUUGACUUUCUUGGACGACUUACAUUUCAGUCGUCUCGUGAAAAUUAAAAUAUCAAUAUUUUUUUUAAACUAGACGACUUACAAUUAAGUCGUCAUAGGUUAGUUUUGCAAUUGAAAAAAAAACUUCAAUAUUUAAUUAUAUAUAAACGACUUAAAAUUCAGUCGUCCGUCAGACGACUUACUUGUAAGUCGUCCAGGACUUACUUGUAAGUCGUCCAAGCUUAUUUAAGUUAUGGAAAUUGAAAUUUUCCGAAUCAGUAUAUUCGACAGUUUGUUAGAAACUUCUGAUUUUUUUUCUAUUUUUUGUUAUUCAUUUGUGGAAAAUUGGUAACUAUAAUAAUUGGCGGUUAGUUCUCUGCUUUAGUAUAUUCGAGAUUAAUAUUUACAACUUCUGAUUUUCUUAUUUCUAUUGUUUAUUAUUGAUUUGAAAAGUAUUUGCAACUAUAAUGAUAACCCAAACAGUAUUUUCAAUAGUUAAUAAAUAUAUCGGUAUAAUCAUAAAUUUUAGUAUCAAGCAUAUAAAUUUUUAAAAAUAUAUGUCGGCUUUUAUUUAGUAGUAAUCCAAAAUUGUAGUUUGAUGGUAUAUUUUCAAUAUACGAGGGGGAAUUUUUCUUAAAGAUUUCGGGUUUAGGGUUUGGUGAAUUAGGGCUUAUUGAGUUUUGAUUAUAUAUUUUAGGAUUUCAUAAUUUUGAAUACUGCCAAAAUACAUUAUCUCAGGAUUUAUGUAUAUAUAUUACAUGUCAAUUUGAAAACAUUGAAAUGUUGAAUCCGGUGUGUUAUUAGAGCAUGAUGGUGUAAGUUUCAAAUACAAAACAUAUGAUCCGGUGUGUUAUUAGAGCAUGAUGGUGUAAGUUUCAAAUACAAAACAUAUGGUUGACGAUUAGUAUCGUUAAUACAAAUAAUAUAGACAGUUUUUUAGGCUUUAAUUAUUUAGUUGAAACUUGAAAGGGAUAUAGAAAUAAUGAAAUAUUUCGUUUGUUGGAAUAAAUAUAUUUCUUGGAAUAAGAAAAAUAAUUAAAAAUACAUGUUUUAAAUAAGGCAAUGUCAUGACCUAAUAUAAACAAGCUCCAAGCCUUUACUUGGAAAAUAAAAGCACCUCAAAAUUUAUGUCAUUUUAUUUUGCAACUAAUAACAGAGCAUGUGGCGUCGCAAAGAACCUGAUCCGUCGCAAUAUGUGAUACGAUAAUUAUUGUCCAAGAUGUGGAGAACCAGAAGAAACUAUUACCAUACUAUUUUUGAGUGCUUACCAACUUUACAUGUUUGGUCUUUAUCAGCAACUCUGUCUAGUACAAACAGUUUUCUUCUACCGAGCAUUUAUGCCAAUACGAAUAAUUUAUUCUGGAGGAAGUAGCAUCGAAGAUCCAGAUUUGGAUAUAAAUCCUUAUAUCUGGAUAAUCUUGUAUAUUUGGAAGGCUUGAAAUGAUAAAAGAGAAUAGACAUGGAUCUUUUGGAAUUUGUUAGAUAUGCAGAAAUUGAAUGUCAAUCUUGGUUCAAUGCAAAUGAAUCAGUAUCCUUAUAGUGAAGAACCAAACGUUUUAAGCUUGAGUAAUAUAUGUAGCUGUAAAACAUAUGAAGAGUCUAAGCCAAUAUAUGUUUGCUGUAAAACAACCCAAUAAUGAUUUUAAAGGUCUCAUUUUGUAAUGUUUUUUUAAGUUAUUACAUUUUAGAGAUAAAGCAUAAAUGCUGAAUUCAAAUGAAAACAAUUUAUACAUGGAUGCAAUACACUACAAUAGGUGAAUAAUCGUCAAAUCUAAUCUUUUGCAUAUGAAACACUUAAUUUUAUUUAAAUCUGUUUAUAAUAUUAUAUGAGUAAACUUAUAGUUUUAUACAAUUGCAUCUUCUUAUAAUCUUUGUAGUGUGAUUUGCAGGGAAUAAAAUUCAUGCAUCACCUAAAAAUAGGUAGAUGCUAAAAGAGUACUCUAUAAUAUAAUAAAGCAGUUCUCUCUUUCCUGAAGCGACACAUCAGCAUUUUGGUGGGUUUCACUUUUAAUAAGUGUGAAAAAAUAUCACACAUGUGACUCAAACCCAGGUUAUUGAGAUAUAAACACCAACACUUAUACCAGUAAACUAAAGGAUACUUUGUACAUUGAUGACCGAAACUAAUAUAUAUUUAAGAAGGUCGAAAACCUUUGAUUCUUCGGUUCUCUGUGGGCCGGGCCUACCAGUGUAUUAUGAGUUUCAUUUUUAAAUGAGGUUCACCACGUUAUAUGAAAAACAACAAUUAUAGUUUUUUCAUAUUGUAAACUGUCUUCGUUUAACAUGAGUUAGAGUUCUUUUCAUCAUUGUCUUAAAUAAGUCCGAGUUACAGAGUUGCGUUGUGUGUCUGUUCGUAAUCUAUUUUUUCACCGGUGAACUAUUCAUCUCCCUAUCUUAAAUCGCUUGAUCUUAAAUGUUCCUGAUUUGUAGCCUUUCUGUAAACCUUAUAUAUAUAUAUAUAUGAUUCUCAUCUUUGAUGAACCCAAUCUGCAUCUCCACAAAACUCAUUGAUUCCUCUUACCUUUAACCAUCUUUUAGAAAAUGUCUCUCUGCCUCUCCAGUUCCUCAAACCGGCGUUCCCGGCAUCCGUUACUCAACUUUCGAGUCUCUCCGUGUUGGUCGUAGUAGACAGAACAUAGCUUCUAACCUCCUCGCUUAUGGGAUUCGCUGAACUUCAAGAAAGACAGUAAGUUUAUGGGAAUCACAGUUAUCUUUCUUGAUGAAAAUGUAAGUUAAUCUUCGAUUUAUCACACUUAUUUAAUAUAAUUGUUUUUAAUUAAUUUCCUGAUUCUUUGUUAAAUAAUAUUAUUUGUACUAUGAUUUAUGGGUUUAUUUCUGCCGGACGUGUUAAACAUUACAUGCCAUCUUUGAAAGUCGGUUCCAUUGUGAAAGUCGAUCGUUUUGAGGUUGCUAGGUGCUCAAGUAUGUACAAGAAAAUUGAUCAUUCAUUCCUCAUUCGUUUCAUCCCACCAACUAUUAUUUAUGAAGUCAUCACAGGUGCUCCUGAGAUCAAUCUCCAAUCAUAAUUAGACUGUUUGACAAUUUCCAAGUGAUUGCGAACACAAACCUAGAACUCUCGGGUAUAUUAUCAUAUUGCAUCUGGGUUUAUAAUAUGUUUAGUUAUCAUAACUGAUAUUUAAACUCGCAGAUGUGGUUGGGAAAAUCCAAUAUGUCCAAGGCUCCGACCUUAGCAAAUAAAUAACUCGAGUCGUUAUCCAUCUCCUCAUUGAUCCGUAAGAAACAAUCAGCACACAAUUCCCUUUAUAUUAUUAUCUAAAUUGUGCUAACAUCAAUUAUCAAAAAUAUUUCCUACCCAAAUUGUGUGCUCGUCUAUUUAUCUCCCUUAGUUAUCAAACUAAUUUUACACAAACCUUUAUUUUACAGAUUAAAAGAAACCACAACAACACAAACAAUCAAAACACCAAAAACUAGAAUUUCAAAAAAGUCGAAUCAUUAAUGAUCACCUCUCUUUUUUGUCUAAUCUUAGAAAUAAACUUCAAAACAAAUAUACUAAACCAAUUAGCUCAACUAAAACUCAGCGACACAUACAUCGAGUCUGCUAAACAAAUACAAACUACACGGCCAACUAUUUAACAAUUUACAAAUUUACUUUCGCAACGACAUAUACAUCGAGUCAGCUAAACAAAUACAAACUACACGGCCAGCUAUUUAACAAUUUACAAACUUACUUUCGCAACAAAGAAGACGAAGAUGACAACCAAGAUCAGUGAAAUUACCUAACCAAAAAAAGAAGAGUAAGUUAUGAACUCUGAUAAAUACAACUGACAAUGAUUUUUUUUUACAUAUUACCCAUCAAAUAAAAGAUAAACAAACACAUCCACAACAGGAGAUACAAGAGACAAUCCCGAUAGACACAAAGGCGGCAACAAUAGCUCCACCUGCUCAUUCCUCUUGUCUUAUAAAAAUAGCUUACAUGCCCAAUGUCAACAGACCAAUGCUAUUGUCUUCUUAUGAGAAAUAAAUAAAUUUGUUUAAAACUCAUUAAAACCCAAAUAGUCAGAACUGUCAUUCAUUUUAUAGUUAUUUCUACAAGUCUUCAUGUAUCUGUUUUAAAUGUCCGGUAAGAGCAACAAGUUUAAAAAUAAAAUAAAAACAUAUAACAAACAUAAUAAGGAUAAUAAAAAUUAUUACUUAAUACACACAACUUACAUAACUAAACUAGAGAAAAAAUAUCCAGAAACAAAAGGUACUCUCAACAACUUUAAUAUAAUUUACGUACUCACAACAAUACAAGAAACAAAUUAAAAAGACAAACAAACAAUAAGUCUCAGGGACACAACAAACAACAACAUGAACUAUAUCAAUCACAUUACUAACACAGUUUAAUCAUUCAUAAGUGGAGAACAUUGCAUACACAGUUCAUCAUCACAACUCUAACCCUAUAACAAUAAAAAAAACUUGAAAAACAACUCAAAAUGCAAAAUUCACAACUACAAUAACCGUAGCAUAUAUUGAGAUGAAACAAGAUCUCUGUUCACAACCCCACGAUUACGCGGAGGCAAUGCCCCUAGUGUUUAAAGUUAAGCAGUUAACAAAGCAUACAAUGCUAACCUAUUGGAUAGAUCUACUAAGCAAGUUUGAAAAUGACAUUAGCAACACACAAGUUCCAAAUAACCAAACAUGUAGGCCAUGUUCGUUUGACACUCGCUGACAGCAACUAGAGAUAAUUUGUUUUUUCCGUCAAUUUUUAAUUAAUUUAAAAGGCCAGAGUCCAAAGAUUACAGACCCGAGGCCCAAAGUACAAGGCAUAAAGCCCACCUCCAAGGUGAACACAAAAAAAAAAACAAGGCCUGAGGCUUAAACUGCAAGAAGCCCAAACCGCAAGAAGCCAGACACCUGCUUGCAGGUCCACGCGUCAAGGAGGCAGGACACGUGUUCGCAUCUUCACCAUCUCAUCCCGUCGACUUGACCGUCGCCGCUUCAAGAGCAGCAUCACUGAAACCCUCGUUUCAUCGGAGCUCCUAUUACCGGCGAGCCUCCAUCGAAACCACUUAGAGCUCUCAUCCCGAGCCUCCCAAACAUCCUCCCCAUAAAGUUGAAACAACAACUCAUCUCUCUUCAUUCAUGCUUUAUCUUAACGUCGGAGAGCUUCAUUGAUUAAAUCGAGAUCUCAUCCAGCAAAUCGAAGCCGCGAACCAAAGUAACCAUGAACCAAAGACCACACCUGAUCCAGAAACGAAAACAAACCCUACCCUAUCGAAAAGAUUGAAACACCUAAAGCCGGCGGCGUAAGACUGAGAAAGCCUUCACUCUCCAGAGACAAAAGCCGGCAAUGGCAGAGCAGAAGAAGCUCCCACCUCCCGGAAUCGAAACUUAAACUGACAAGUCAACUUCACCACGCCUAAAAACCUUCACACGACCGCGUCGUUACUCCAGCCGCUUAGCCACCAUCGCUGUUGGUUCCUUCCCGAGUUAACGAUGACGGUUGAAAACAGGGCCAGAGCUCAGACAAGGCGGUCAGGGUAGCAGGCGACGGAGAAACAGAGGAAGGGUAUCUUAACGAAGAAACGGAGGGCUCCGGCGACGGCACGCUCGCUCACGCGUCGGCCGUACACUGGACCCAAAAUAGAUCUUCUUUCUCUCUCUGGAACUUUCUCUCUCUAGUGUGGCUUAUUCCUUCGAGGUAGCAAGGAUGAACUAGCGAUAAUUUAAAACACAAUUUUAAAUAUGUUGCUGAAAAUUAUAGCAAUUGAAAAUCACAGUCAUCAUCGAUUGCUGCAUUUGGUUGUUGGGUCAAAGACUGCGAAACGAAUAACAUUUUAAUCGCUAUUACUAGUCGCUGCUGCUAGCGACCGCAAAACGAACAUGGCCUAAUCUGUAAUUGCAAUAAUUUUAUUUUGUAGAUUAGGAAAAAUGAAAAUCAUAACCAGCGUUAAAACACAGGUUGUACGUAUUCUAGUAAUUUUUGGUUUACAUAUUUUUAUUGAUUUAGAAAUCCAUAUAGUAUUUAUAAAUCCAAGUAAAAUAUACAAAUUUUCAAAUUUUCUCGGAUUAGUAUUUACAAAUCCGGAGGUUUUCCUUCGGAUUUGGGUCUUUGUAUUUUUCACAAAGAAAUCCAUGCAAAUCCAUUCAAAUACAUUAUGAAAUCAAAUCUAUUAGUAAAUUCGUAUGAUUGAAUAACACUUGAUUUGAAUUAGAAUUUAUGAAUCAUUAAACGAAUAACACAUGAUUUUAAUACAUAUUUUAAAAUCAUAGAACCAAUAACACUAGAUUUAGUUUGUAUUUUCAAAUCCAUCAAAAUACACAAACCAAUAACCCCUACUUAUAAUAUGGUCCAAGUUUUCCUAAAAUCAAGUCGCUGCCAAAAAAAAAACAAGCAAAAACUCUUUAACACCCGGAACAGUAGAAGAAAAAACAGUAAAGGGAAUUAAGAUUUCUCGGAUGAAGAGUUAAGCCCCCGACCAUGGUGGGAGCCUCGGUGCCGGUUUCGGGCGAAAAAGAUGGAGCGAGCAGCAUUCUCACACAGAAGAGAAAACGGUCUUCCAAAUCUUCACCUGAUAAGAGACUCUCGCCGGCGCUGCUCGAUCUGAAUGUUCUUGAUUGUCCCAUUUGCUUCGAAGCAUUCACGAUUCCUAUCUUCCAGGUUUUGUUUCUCACCUGGUAUCUUCUCAGUUCUCCCUCUGCAUUUGGAAGAAGAUGCUUUGCAAUAUCCGUAGCUUUAAAGAAACUCAUGUCUCUAAUUGUAGUUUCUUGAAACUAUAAACUAUAACUUGGGGUUUUUAAUCACACAUUGGGUUUUGUAUUUCAGUGUGAGAAUGGACAUUUAGCUUGCUCUUCUUGCUGUCCCAAAAUUAGUAACAAAUGUCCAACAUGUGCUUUGCCUACUGGUCACAUUCGCUGCAGAGCAAUGGAGAGUGUUGUUGAAUCAGUUUGUGUUAUUCCACCGCACACCAUGAGAGAUUCAAUUGGUUCCUUUGCGGCCAACCCAUUAAUGUAACCAAACCAAGAACAGGAGAAAUUAUAUGAGCUACAACGCCUUGUCAACUAAUCACAGAAACUCAGAAACCUUCAACAUCACAUUAUCUCAACUGAAGAAAAGAAGGAACAUAAAAAUCUAUACCUCAUCUUGAACGACAACCUAUAACAAAGAUAUGUGUAAUGCAUAAAUUAUAUAUAAGACAAUAUAUGAAGAGGAUCUCGUAUUCAUUAUCGUAUAUAUUGAGUCCUCUGUUUUAGGAAUAGUUUGUUGAUAUUUGACUUAGUCUCCAAGUCUAAAGUCUGUAUAUAAUCUCCCGACUAUUGUCAUUGUGAAUAAUAAGACAAACACAUUCCUUACAUGGUAUCAAGAGCCAUACGAUAACCCUAAAAAAAAAUUUUCUUUAGCCGCCACCUUCUUCUUCUUCUUCUUCUUCCCCUCUCCUUCCUUCUCUUCCCUCCAUGGCUAUGGCUACUGCAGCAGAACGAAUCGAUGACACCCAACCUCUGUUGAACAUCAACAUGGUCAACGUAACGAAACUCACCUCCACGAACUACAUGACGUGGAGCUUACAAAUCCAUGCUCUGCUCGAUGGGUACGACUUCGCCGGACACAUUGACGGCACGACUCCUGCACCGGAAGAAACAAUCACCGUCGACGGCGCAACAACGGUCAAUCCCGAUUUCACCAAAUGGCGUCGUCAAGAUCGACUGAUCUACAGCGGUCUCAUUGGUACUCUCUCCCCAUCCAUUCAGGUGCUGGUCACAAACACCAAAACAUCUCUCGAUGUGUGGAAAUCACUCAGUGCUACGUACGCGACUCCCAGUCGUGGACACAUUCAGCAACUUCGUCUCCUACUGAAGCACUUUACCAAAGGUGACAAGAGUAUCGAUGACUACAUGAGGGGUCUCACGACUCGGUUCGAUCAGCUUGGACUAUUAGGCAAACCUCUGGAGCAUGAGGACAAGAUCGAGUAUAUUAUUGACGGUCUUCCAGAAGAAUACAAGUCGGUUGCGGAGCAGAUCGAGGGACGUGACAUCACCCCUUCCAUCAUAGAGAUACAUGAGAAGUUGAUAAACAAGGAAGCAAAACUUCUCUCUGUCUCUACCCCGUCUACAAACCCAAUUCCGAUGACCGCUAAUGUAGCCUCUGCUCGUCCAAAACAACAACAUCAGUCGCAGAACUAUCGAGGCAACAACUCCAACUGGAACUCAAACUACAAGUCCGCCAGCCUCUCCUCGCCGAAGCAAGAUGCUCACCCCACCAAAGGUUAUCAAGGCAAAUGCCAGAUCUGUAGCGUCUUCGGUCAUAGUGCUCGAUGUUGCCCUCAGAUGCCUCAGCAAUACACAAAUGCCGCAGCAUCACCGUUCCGUCCAUGGCAGCCACGCGCCAAUAUGGCUGUCGCAGCUCAACAUCCUAGCAAUGCCUGGCUCCUUGACUCAGGCGCAACGCAUCACCUAACGAGUGAUCUUCACAACAUGGCGCUACACCAGCCAUACUUCAUAGAUGAUUCGGUUCUUAUUGGCGAUGGAUCAGGUUUAUCAUCACUCACACUGGUUUCGUUUCUCUACCCUCCUCUACACGCAACUUACGCUUAAAUGAUGUUCUUUGUGUUCCUAACAUUAAGAAGAACCUUAUUUCCGUGUAUCGUCUAUGUAACUCUAACAAAAUUUCGGUUGAAUUUUUCCCUGCUUCCUUUCAGGUGAAGGAUCUGUGCUCGGGAAUCCCGUUAAUCCAAGGCCAGACCAAGGAUGAGCUGUACGAGUGGCCAGCCAACCCAUCUACCCUUCAGUCCUUUUUCGCCUCUUCUAAACCUCAAAUAACGCUGUCGGAUUGGCAUUUUCGUCUUGGCCAUCCAUCAGCUUCUAUUCUUAAAUCUGUAAUUUCAAAGUUUUCUUUACCAUGCUCUCAAUCUGUAACCUCAAACACUUUGUGCUCAGAUUGUGCUAUCAAUAAAACUCACAAAUUACCUUUUCACCAAACCACCAUCUCUUCUUCCCGACCCUUACAAUAUAUAUUUACCGAUCUUUGGAGUUCACCAGUUGUCUCAGUUGAUAAUUACAAGUAUUAUCUUGUACUUGUAGAUCACUAUAGCCGCUACACUUGGUUGUAUCCUCUGAAACUCAAGUCACAAGUCAAAGAAGUGUUCAAGACAUUCAAGGCUCUCGUCGAGAAUCACUUCUCUCUGAAGAUUGGUACGUUAUUCUCCGACAAUGGAGGUGAGUUUAUAGCUCUCCGUCAACUCCUUGCAAACGCUGGCAUCUCCCAUCUCACUUCCCCGCCCCACACACCUGAACAUAACGGCAUCUCAGAGAGGAAACACCGACACGUUGUCGAGACUGGUCUUACACUACUAACUCAUGCCUCAAUGCCAAAGUCUUACUGGUCGUACGCAUUCUCCACCGCAACAUACCUGAUCAAUCGCCAACCAACUCAAGUUCUCGACAUGAACUCACCGUUCAACAAGCUGUUUGGAACUCAACCUAACUACACCAAGCUCAGGGUGUUUGGCUCUCUCUGUUUCCCUUGGCUGAGGCCUUACACCUCUCAUAAGCUUGAAGACAGAUCCACACCACAUGUCUUCAUUGGAUACUCUCCAACACAAAGUGCGUAUCUCUGUCUACAACCACAUACUGGUCGCGUUUGUGUCUCAAGACAUGUACGCUUCGACGAAUCUGUGUUCCCAUUCAAGACUGCUAAUCACUCUCCUCAACCGCCGUCUGAUAUAUCACCCCCCUCCUCCUCGCCAUUCCCCCCAGUUACAACCAUACCCAUCUUCAAACCAAACCAAACACCUAACCCGCCAAACCCAAACCCACCACUCGUGCAGCAAACGGGGAUUCUGAGCCCAGCUUCUUCUCUGCCAGGACAGGUAAAUUCUUCUUCAACUUUGCUUAGUACUACUAACGAUACCAGCUUGAGUGCAGAGCAUUCAUCAAACUCCGCCACAAACACCAGCUCCCACAACUCUGUUCCGGUCACACCAGAUGCCUCUUCGGCAUCAUCUUCUGCUUCAGAACAACAACAACCCUCACCUCCGCCACCACCGGCUCCGACUGCACCACCUCUAGCUCCUGCUCAACAACCAAACUCUCACCCAAUGCUCACACGACGAAAGAACCAGAUCACCAAGCCGAACUCCAAGUACAACUACUCUGCUGCCUUAUCCUCUACUGUCCCUGUGGAACCAAACACGCUAGCUCAAGCACUCAGAGACAAGCGUUGGCGCGGCUCCAUGUCCUCUGAGAUUGAUGCGUUUGCACGCAAUGGAACAUUUGUUCUUGUUCCCAGAAAGCCAGACGUCAAUGUCAUCGGCUGCAGAUGGAUAUACAAAAAUAAAUUCAACUCAGAUGGCACUCCUCGGUGCUGCAAAUCUCGUCUGGUUGCAAAAGGAUACAAAGAAGAGUAUGGUCGUGACUACACGGAAACAUUCAGCCCCGUCGUCAAAGCCACAACACUUCGACUUGUGCUUGACAUUUCUGUUAGUUACUCAUGGCCUAUUCAACAGCUCGACGUCAACAACGCGUUUCUACAAGGGACACUCACGGAGGAAGUCUACAUGGAUCAACCGCCAGGGUUUGUUGAUGCAGACAGACCUGACUAUGUAUGCAAGCUCAAUAAAGCAGUCUACGGACUCAAACAAGCCCCGCGGGCUUGGUACAACGAGCUCAGCACGUUUCUCAUCAGUCUUGGCUUCGUGAACUCCCUUGCUGAUACGUCUUUGUUUGUUCUCUGGCGUGACUCGCAGAUCAUCUAUCUUCUCAUCUACGUUGACGAUAUCUUGGUUACUGGUAACACAAAGUCUGGAAUCGCUAAGGUCCUUGCUCUCUUUGCCGAACGUUUCUCAGUAAAGGAUGCAGAAGACUUGAAUUAUUUUCUCGGAAUCGAAGCGCAUCGUACACAGCAAGGCCUUCAUCUCUCUCAGAGGAAAUAUGUUCUUGAUCUACUCCACAAGUACGACAUGACCAAUGCGAAACCAGUAACCACUCCUAUGGCGUCGACACCAAAGCUCCGCCUCAACUCGGGAACUGCUCUUGCAGAUCCAACUAAAUACAGGCGCCUCAUAGGAAGUCUACAAUACCUGCAAUUUACUCGAUUAGACAUUUCCUAUGCAGUCAACAAGCUCUCUCAGUUCAUGCACAUGCCGACUGAGGAUCACUGGCAAGCCGCGAAGAGAAUCCUAAGAUACCUUGCUGGGACUCCCACGCAUGGAAUCUAUUUCUCUGCGUCAAAUAAACUGGUUCUUCAUGCUUACUCAGAUGCGGAAUGGGCUGGAGAUUCUGACGAUUACGUCUCCACCAACUCCUACAUCAUCUAUCUAGGAUGACAUCCAAUCUCUUGGACUUCACGAAAACAGAGUGGUGUGGCUCGAUCGUCUACCGAAGCCAAAUAUCGUGCAGUUGCUAAUGCAGCCUCGGAACUCAACUGGCUCUGCAACGUACUAUCUGAGCUUGGAAUCACUCUGCUCUCACCUCCUGUUGUCUACUGCGACAAUGUUGGCGCCACCUUCCUAUGUGCUAAUCCAGUCUUCCACUCACGGAUGAAACACAUAGCCAUAGACUAUCACUUUGUCCGCAAUCAAGUACAGAAUGGAGCACUACGAGUUGCUCAUGUCAACACACGUGAUCAGUUAGCGGACGCCUUAACAAAGCCACUUACCAGAGCUCGGUUCAUGGAACUUAUUGGCAAGAUUGGAGUGAGACCUCCCACUCCAUCUCGAGGGAGCGUAUAAGACAAUAUAUGAAGAGGAUCUCGUAUUCAUUAUCGUAUAUAUUGAGUCCUCUGUUUUAGGAAUAGUUUGUUGAUAUUUGACUUAGUCUCCAAGUCUAAAGUCUGUAUAUAAUAUCCCGACUAUUGUUAUUGUGAAUAAUAAGACAAACACAUUCCUUACAUUAUAUUGUCUACGAGGUAUGCAGGACAAGGAUACGCGAGAUAAAAUCAAAUCCUUUGCAUAAAUUCUCCAAACACAGCCUUCGAUUCUCGACCUCUACAUCUUCCAAAAACAAACUGUAAACCUUUACAUUCAGAGAAAGUCAGUGUAACGACCCAGAUUUUUCUGGUGGGCCAGUUUGGCCUUUAUUAAAAAUUAAAGUCUAAUUCUCUCUUUUUACUUUGUCCCACAUUGGAUGUUUAGAAAACCUACCUCCCUUCCCUUCUCUUAUAUAAGAAACUCCAUCCUUUCUCUUUAUUCUCAUCAAGUCAAAGUAUUUCUUUGCGUGUGACGAGUUGUUGUUGAAUUAUUCGACGACCAGUCACUAGUGAAUUUUCCGGUGGGAUUUCCGGGUGAGCUUCCGGCGAGAUUUUUGGACGAGCUUCCGGUGAGAUUUCUAGACGAGCUUCGGCGGGUUUUCUAGUAAGUUUGUUGCCUCCUUAUUUCUAGUUAUAGGAAUAUUUUAGGAAAGUUUCUAAUUUAGGAAAUAAGUUAUAUUAGGAAAGUUUCUAUUUUAGGAAAGUUGCCAUUUUAGGAAAGUUGCUAUUUUAGGAAAGUUUCUAUUUUAAGAGAGGUUUCAUUUUAGGAAAGUUUCCAUUUUAGGAAACUUAUUUCCAGAGAAGCUGAGCUUAAGUCGUUGAUUCUCGUGUUGCAGUUGACCUCAGCUGACCGUAUCUUCCGUUGUUCAUUUCAGCUUGUGGCUAAGGUGAGGGCUAUCCCAUUAAAUCCCGAGCUAGUUUAGUACUACUAUUAUGGAAAGUUUAGUUUCGAAACAUGAUCCAUCUCUGUGAAUUGAGUCUGUUUGAGAGUCUUGUUUGUUUAUUAUUACUAUUGAUUGUUAACCGGAAAUAGGAUAAUAGAGGAUUCAACGGUUGAUUGAAUUGAAUGAAUUAAGAACUGUUAUUUCUAUAUGUAUAUACAUAAGUCUGUUAUGAGAUUGCGGGGCACAAAGAUGUUGUGCUAACGGCGCAUUGUGUGGAGAUUGCGGGACACAGAGACGUUUGUGUUAGCGGCGCAUUGUAUGGAGAUUGCGGGGCAUAUGGACGUCUAUGCUAGCGGUGCAUUGUAUGAGGGAUUGCGGGGGUACAAAGACGUUUGUACUAGCGGCGCAUAGGUGAUUGCGGGGUACAAGGAUGGACUCUUGUACUAGCGGCGCAUAGAGUUAUAUAUUUAUAUCCGUAUAAGGAGAAUGCGGGGUGUGUGAUCUAGUUAUGCACUAUCAGCGCAUUUGAUGUUUUUAUGUGGUGUAUUAGACACUGUGUUUGUUUUAUGCUAGAACUAGGCCUACAUAGUCGCAGUGCUAUGUACUGAGUCAGUGGUUUGUGGUUUAGCAUCCCAUACCUCACGGAGUAACUCCCCUGUUACUCACCCCUCCUUCUUUCCCCCUUUCAGGUGAGACUGACGAGCAGGAGUGAUUGCUAUCGGAUUGGUGCUUUGGGAGUUUUAUUUCUUUCUUUUUCAAACUUGCGGAUUUUAUGCUUUUAUCGAUAUUCUCGAGAUUUAUUAUGUUAUUUGGAUUUAUGGCUAUUUAUUGGAUUUACGACUUUGGAGUUGACUUUUGAGAAGUAAUAAAUGGAGAUUUCAGAAUUUUAUUUGUUUAUUUUAUUUUGGAAAAUACGGGUGUUACAAUUUGGUAUCAGAGCGGGGUUCCGUCCCGGCUCUGACCCGGGAUGGCGAUUUGUUGGGACGUGGUUUCGACUCGGUUUUUAAUCGGUUUUAGACAAUUUUUAAAAUAUUUUGGGAAUAUGGGGAUUUUAAAAAUAAAAGUAAAUAGCACCUUUCUGUUUGGUAUUGUGUCUAGAAUCGUUGGUGUUCGGUUUCGGCAGAAGUUUAUUGAGGUGCUUUUUUUCUUUCAGAUGCCGCCGCGUAAGAGAGUUGUUCGCACUCAGUCCGCUAGUGCUUCACGAGAGGGUGGAGAUGAGAAUGUGCCGCCACCGGUUCCACCGAUUGAUCAGAAUGCCCUUAGGCAGAUGGUGCAGGAUGCUGCCAGACAGUCUGCACAUGAGGCAGUUCAGCAAGCUGUCCAGGAGGCUGCUAGAGUAGCUGCACAGGAAGUGGUUAGGCAGAUGGCUGCAGCUCAGCAGGUUCCGCCAGUUCAGGUUCAGGGGCAUCAGCAGCCCCCUAUUCAGCAGGUUCCUGAGGUUGAUGAGACGCUUAUGCAGGUGAUGAAACAGAUGAAAACUGUGGAUUUGGAGACUUUUGGGGGAACAGUAGACCCUUUUCAGGCUUAUAAUUGGAAGCAUAGAUUAGCUACGUGUCUGCAGACUAUCAAUUGUCCGUUGCGCCUUUGCCUUAAUAUCGCAGAGUUGUAUCUGCGUGGGGAUGCAUUAGUAUGGUGGGAUGGAGUGCAAUCGAUGCGUGAUGGCGAUAUGACUUAUGAGGAUUUCCUCAUUGCGUUCGACAAAAAGUAUUUUCCUAGAGAAGCAUUGCACCAGAAGAAGAAUGCUUUUGAGCAUCUGAGGCAGGGUACUAGGAGUGUCAGAGAGUAUGAGCGGGAGUUUUGCCAACUCCGCUUGUUUGCUGGUAAUAAUUUUGAUGCGGAGGACUUGAUCAGGAGAUUCUUAGAUGGGAUGCGAGUUGAUCUUCGCGGCAGGUGCAUUAUGGUUACUUACACAAGCUUGGAGGAUCUGGUAGAGAAGGCUGCUGUGCAGGAGGCAUGUAUUGCAGAGGAGCAGAAGUACUCUAAGGCCCAACCUAAGACUGAAAGAACUUCAGGGUCACCGAACAUGGCAGGGGAUCAGUCAGGAACACCCAGUUGUGAGCGCUGCCAUCGCUACCAUUUUGGAGAUUGCGUCAUGUGUUUUGCAUGUGGGCGGUUAGGCCAUGUGGCCAAGUAUUGUCGAUUUACAAAAGUGGAUGGUACUGGUACCGGACAGGUUACAGCACCAAAGACACUAGCAGCGGCUUCAAAGAAGUGUUAUGGCUGUGGCCAGCCUGGUCACAUUUUCAGGGAUUGCCCUAGGGGGGGACGUGUAGAGAAUCCAUCACCAGCUAAGCGCCAGGCUAUCGCACCACGAGUAUUUGCUGCAAGAGGCAACGAGAGAGUUGAGCCGGCUGAUGGUAUGUAUCUUUUCACUUUGGUAGUUUACGUUUGUGCAUGUUGUCUUUUGCGGUUAUCAUGUGUUUAAAAAAAAAAAGUUGUGCUUAAGAUCAGUAGCGGCUGAGUAUGAUAGAUUUCACCUUAUUUGAUAUGGGAGGACCACAUAGUUUGGAGUGUCUACAGCGAACAAGCGUCUUUAUAACAAAGUUAAGUCAUGCUGAAGACAUCUUAUUCCUUUUCUCGGCUCAGGAUUUGAAUUCGGGGACGAAUUCCUUCUUAGUGGGGAAGAAUUGUAACGACCCAGAUUUUUCUGGUGGGCCAGUUUGGCCUUUAUUAAAAAUUAAAGUCUAAUUCUCUCUUUUUACUUUGUCCCACAUUGGAUGUUUAGAAAACCUACCUCCCUUCCCUUCUCUUAUAUAAGAAACUCCAUCCUUUCUCUUUAUUCUCAUCAAGUCAAAGUAUUUCUUUGCGUGUGACGAGUUGUUGUUGAAUUAUUCGACGACCAGUCACUAGUGAAUUUUCCGGUGGGAUUUCCGGGUGAGCUUCCGGCGAGAUUUUGGACGAGCUUCCGGUGAGAUUUCUAGACGAGCUUCGGCGGGUUUUCUAGUAAGUUUGUUGCCUCCUUAUUUCUAGUUAUAGGAAUAUUUUAGGAAAGUUUCUAAUUUAGGAAAUAAGUUAUAUUAGGAAAGUUUCUAUUUUAGGAAAGUUGCCAUUUUAGGAAAGUUGCUAUUUUAGGAAAGUUUCUAUUUUAAGAGAGGUUUCAUUUUAGGAAAGUUUCCAUUUUAGGAAACUUAUUUCCAGAGAAGCUGAGCUUAAGUCGUUGAUUCUCGUGUUGCAGUUGACCUCAGCUGACUGCAUCUUCCGUUGUUCAUUUCAGCUUGUGGCUAAGGUGAGGGCUAUCCCAUUAAAUCCCGAGCUAGUUUAGUACUACUAUUAUGGAAAGUUUAGUUUCGAAACAUGAUCCAUCUCUGUGAAUUGAGUCUGUUUGAGAGUCUUGUUUGUUUAUUAUUACUAUUGAUUGUUAACCGGAAAUAGGAUAAUAGAGGAUUCAACGGUUGAUUGAAUUGAAUGAAUUAAGAACUGUUAUUUCUAUAUGUAUAUACAUAAGUCUGUUAUGAGAUUGCGGGGCACAAAGAUGUUGUGCUAACGGCGCAUUGUGUGGAGAUUGCGGGACACAGAGACGUUUGUGUUAGCGGCGCAUUGUAUGGAGAUUGCGGGGCAUAUGGACGUCUAUGCUAGCGGCGCAUUGUAUGAGGGAUUGCGGGGUACAAAGACGUUUGUACUAGCGGCGCAUAGGUGAUUGCGGGGUACAAGGAUGGACUCUUGUACUAGCGGCGCAUAGAGUUAUAUAUUUAUAUCCGUAUAAGGAGAAUGCGGGGUGUGUGAUCUAGUUAUGCACUAUCAGCGCAUUUGAUGUUUUUAUGUGGUGUAUUAGACACUGUGUUUGUUUUAUGCUAGAACUAGGCCUACAUAGUCGUAGUGCUAUGUACUGAGUCAGUGGUUUGUGGUUUAGCAUCCCAUACCUCACGGAGUAACUCCCCUGUUACUCACCCCUCCUUCUUUCCCCCUUUCAGGUGAGACUGACGAGCAGGAGUGAUUGCUAUCGGAUUGAUGCUUUGGGAGUUUUAUUUCUUUCUUUUUCAAACUUGCGGAUUUUAUGCUUUUAUCGAUAUUCUCGAGAUUUAUUAUGUUAUUUGGAUUUAUGGCUAUUUAUUGGAUUUACGAUUUUGGAGUUGACUUUUGAGAAGUAAUAAAUGGAGAUUUCAGAAUUUUAUUUGUUUAUUUUAUUUUGGAAAAUACGGGUGUUACAGUCAGUCACUCCAAUAAAUCUCUACUUGAAGCUGAAUCUAAAGCUCUUCGGAUAGCAAUGCAACAUGUUUGGAACAUGGGACUUCGUUCACUCGUCUUCGAAGGAGGUUGUAAAAAAAAAAAACAAAGUUUUGAUUCAUUCACUACCAGACAAAGAAGUUAAUGUCUCCACUGAAAAUAUUCUCUAUGACAUUUCUCUUUGGAGAUGAAAAUUUAACAUUGGAAAACAAAUGUGAGUGCUAAUUAACAAAUGCAUGCAGGUAAGUAAGAAAGUAUAAAAUCUUGAUAAUAAUGGAUGGCUUCUCUAGCGUUUUCCUCUAUAAAACAACAAUUUCACCUUUCCCUCCGUUCUCCGCGAAGCUCACAUGCUUCUACAUAUUAUUUGAAAUAGCAACAAAAUUAAGUCAGUACUUCUUCUGGUUACCAAACUUCAGCUUUUAAAUGCAAUGUUUAACUAAAAGGGUUAUUUGAGUUUACUAAAAUAUCAUUAAUUCUCAAAUAUAUUUCAAACAUUUACCUCUCGGGCCUUGUAAUUAUUGUUCUUCAAAACUCCAGCUCCAAGUUCCCAACAAAUAUCAUUGCUAUCUCGGCCGCCUUGUAUCUCGCCGGAACUCUCUCGGUAGAGAGCAAUGAUCCUCUCCGUGACUUCAGAUGCAUCGUGGCUCUCUCCCAUUAACUUCAUGAUCUGAGACCGAGGCAGCUUCAGGCUCACCCUCGUCUGUCCAGACCCAAUCCCAUUUCCGCCGUCAGAUCUUGCUAAAGCCACGUCAGAGACGGCCCUCCGGGAAAGCAUUAGCAUUUCCAGACGCUCCUUGGCGCUAACAUGUAUACCGGACAUAACUCUUCGGAACGGAAGCUUAUUCCUAUUCGCAAGGUUAGGCAGCUCCACUAGAAAAUAAGUUUUAUUAGGCGCUAAGAUAUGGUUCGGCUCAAGCGGCUUGACGCGAACUCCAUAUCUUUUCACGGACUCGGAGUCAAACAGCACGAAGCCAGGAUAUUCUUUGGUGGCGUCGCUCACUCGGGCCGGAGUUUGGAGCCGGAAAGUAUCGCCGUCGAUCUUCAUUACUGUCGCCUUCUUUCUCCUCACCAUGAUAAUGUUCCCCAUUGUCUUCUCUUUUUAACUUGAUGAAUCCCGUAAAGCAUGCAGCGCUAUUUAUAUACGUUGAGUAAGAGUAAAGAUUAACUAGAUAUGUAAUAGGUUAAAGAUUUGAUUAGUGUGUGAAACUUUGAAAUACUCGGGAGAUUAUAUUUUCUUAAUAAAGUCUAUGAAAUUUUUAUUUACUAAUUCUUGAAAAGGUCGGUCGACGGCAAUACAUUUCUAAACUUAAGGUUUAUCAUAGCAUUUUAAAAUGUAGCCACCACUAGUGGCCAAGGCUUAUUUAAAUAUAUACUAAGACUAUACGUCCAUAAGACCAUAACUAACCUCCCUAUGGUACCAUAUAUUCAAUUUGGUAGGCGGUUAUCCAAAUUAUGAGAGACUUACGGAAUGAGACAUUUUUUUCUCUUUUUUUACUUCAUUAACACAUCUCACUUGAGGGACAUUUCUUCCUUUCCAUUCCUAUGUGUUUUGACUCAUAUACCCUUUUGCUUUGGUUAGUGAUGAGUUAGUUUUAUUAUAUAAAAUUAGUGUCAGCUUUGUGGGGACCAAAAGAUGAGCAACGUGUUUCCUUAAAAGAGAGAGUGUAUAUACUUUGACUCUUUUUAUAUGUAGCAAAAGAGUAUUUUAUACUAAAAAUAACUUUUUAAAUUUCCCAACAUAUUAUAUGUGUCAUUAUUUUAUAUCAUACUGUAUAAAUAAAUAUAUAAAAACAUAAAAUAAAUUAUUAAAAAUUUUCUUUAUAUUUUGAUAUCCAUAUGUAUAUAUAUGUAUUUUAAUAUUUAUCAAAAUUAAAUUUAAAUUACAUACUGUCUAUUUUGAUACCUGUGGACACACUUUUGUGGAUACAUUGUUGAUGGACACAUUUAAAAUAGUCAUGGACAUGUAUUUGUGGAUAGCUUUUUGGUAUUUUGUAGAUACAUUUUUGAUGGAUAAAUUCAAAAUAUCCACUGAAUGGCAGAGACAUUUAGUGUACAAAAUUUUAUAGACAAGAUUUUAUGGACAAAAAUCUCAAUCUUACAAAUUUUAUGUAUAAAAUUUUGUGGACAAGAUUUUUGUGGACAAAGUUUGUAGACAAAUCAUACAAAGUUCAAAGAACCAGUCCCUGAUUCGACGCCUUUAAAAGAGACCUUAACAAAUUGAUAGAAGCUUGUAAGACUUAAUGACUGCUUCAAGCUGAGCCUGAAGAUGUUCCAGCAUGUAAAGUCCAAACAUAUUUAAAGCAUAUCCUAAAUCCAAUUAACCAAACAAAGAUAGCAUGUUCAAUAAACAGAUGAAGCCAAUUUUAUUAAUCAUGAGGAAGGGUUUAUAAUCAACAAGCAAGAGCUUACAUCAUCCGUAAAAUCUCUAAUAGACACAUCAGAAAACAUAAUCACAAAACAUAAUAGGCACGAGAGCUUGUCAUCGUCUUUUCCACAACGGAGGUGGGACCUGCUCGUCGUCGCGUCCUCUCCAUACCGGAUCUCGAAUCUGUUGGCCGUCCUGUCGUCCUCUCCAAAACGGAAGUCGGACCUGGUUGCCGUCGCGUUGUCCUGUCCAUACCGGAGCUCUCGGAUCUGCUCGUCAGCUCUCAUGUCCACAAAAUCUCAGAGAUUCGAUUCAAUUGAAAAAGUACAACACAAACAAUUAAAAAAAGAAAAAAAUAUAAAAAAGGUUAGGGGUUUCAAGGAGAAAGGUAUUGAAAUCGGGCGACGGAGAAUGAAGGAGAAAGGUGAUGAGAUAUGAAGAGAUAGAUACGAGAUUAUACAGUCACAACCGCUGUGAGCCUUCUGGAUUCAUGGUGUUUUACAGAGAAAUUGAAGAUGAAGAAGAAAAGAUUUAGCAGAAUUAUGGUUAGUAAACGAAGGGGCUGGGAAAUUGGGAAAAUUAGAUUUGAAUUUCAAAAAGUAAAGCGAGAGAGAGAAUAAAUGAUGGUUUCCGAAAACUCGAAAAUAAAGAAACUGAUUUGUUGAACUAUUUUUAAAAAUAUGGAAAGUGACAGCUUAGUUAGUGAGGAGAGAAUUUAGUUAAUUUGAGGGCAUGUAGGACAUUACACAAUAAAGAAAUGUGCCUCCAGCAACAAGUGUCCUUUUGUGUAAAUUGAAAGACAAAAAGUGUUUUAGAGAGUAAAAAAUUCCCAAAUUAUACUAGGUCGUCAUACCAAUAUUGUACUACUAUAUAGUAUAUAAUAAUGUUUAUCCGUAUAAAUUUGGGGUACGAGCUAAUCGUCCUCUUGAAAUUGUCACAUAGUAUGUAUCUACACAAAUUAUCUCUUGUUUUGUGAUUCCAGCAAUUAAAAAUUUUGAAACCGGUUUCUUCUCAUUGUAAAAUGUGAAUCCUAUUUUUCAAGAAUUAAAAUUAUAGGUUAUUUUCGAACCAAUGUUUUUUGUAAACACAACUUUCAUUAGUCUUUAAAUUAACAUCUGUAUUACAAAUAGAAAGAAAAAGUCAUUCUCCCUCAAUAAUCGAACAAGUUCUUUCAGAAAAACGUGGCUUUGAUGCAUGCUUCUAAUGUGGAUCUUGGUUAUCUUCUAAGUUUUGAAAGUAAUUUUUUUCUACAAAACAAAUAGUUCAUAUUUGUAUAAACAUUUGUUGAAGGCAAGGCUGUUGGCUUUGAUGGUGUAGACGACAAAACCCAAGUUUGCAAUGCCGUGGGACAUUUAAAAACUACAUGGUUUAUCGACUCGUCUUCUUCCUCACAUCUGGGACAAUGAUUGUCACAUCUCAUUUUUUUCUGUAUGUUAAGUUCUCUGUAACUGCCAUAUGACCAAUCGUCAGCUUUCAAAUAAGAUGACACAUGGUGUGGAGCGCUUUAAUUUUCCAAACAUAAGACUGAAACGCACGUAAACUCGGCUCUGUGCAUAUAUCUGAGACUCCUUCUACCAUCACAUUGUGAGCCACCCAACACCAUUAUCUCACUGUGUAGAAACCAUGUCUGGUAUAAAUCUAGCAAUACCCAUCAUGUUUUCUAUCGUGACUUACCAGUAAACUCUUGGUUAGAGUAAAUAUAGUCUUGGACCACAAGUGAUUCCAGCUGAGAUCGUUGGAAUCCAUGGAUUCUCUCAUCCUUUUUUCUCAUAACCAGAGUGAAGAUUUUUUCUAAUACCAAAUGAGUGGAAGGCCUUCGAUGCUACAAUACUAGUCCAAGCAUAAAAAGGGUUAUCGCUCAAUUUAGCUCGUAAAGGCGAUCUGAAUUUGAAGUAUUUUCCUCUCAACACCCUAGUCAAGGGCGCAUCUAGAAACUAAAGUAAUUUCCAAAGUUUCUUAGCCAAAAAAUCUAGAUUAAACUCAUGAAUCACCUUGAAUCUCAUUCCAUGUUUUCUUUCAAACUCCACCAGAAUCGUGCAGUGGCACUAGCUAGUUUCUCAGAAAUCUCCUAAGAAAGAAGAAAGCACAGCAUAACAUAAGUGGAUAAAGCCAAAGCAAAUGAUUUUAUUAGGACCUUCUUUUCAUUCUUAGACAACCAUUUCGCUGACCACCCAACCAAUCUAUUAUGUAGUCCUUCCUUAAUGAAAGCUAAGAACUUACAUUUUGAUCCACUGAUAUCCUCAUGUAUGCUGAGAUAUGAGCCCAUUUCCCUUUCAUUAUGAAUACCCAAAACAGUUUUUAUCGACUCCUUCAUCGUCCCACAAAUUUGUUUGCCAAGAGAAAAUAUGAUUUGUCAAAAUUCAUGCAUUGACCCAAUGCUUUGCCAUAAGUUUAGAUAACUUCUAUAAGUUCAUCAUAUUUUAGGGGCUCUGCCUUACAAAAGAAAACUCAUCUGCGAAAAGUAGGUGAGACACUGGAAGACUAGUGUGUGCAAUACGCAUUCCUGUUAUCUUACCCUAAAAUUCUGCAUGAUUUAGAAGGCUAACGAGCUCUUCUGUGCACUAGUUAAAGAUUAAAAAAAAAACAAAGGGUCUCCUUGAAAUAAUCCUCUCUUCAGUAUAAUAUUCCCUAUGGGUUGACCAUUUAAAAACACUGGUACUUGACAUAAUUAAUACAUCUCAUAAUUCAACGAUCCACAUAUGUGAAAAUCUAUCUUCUCCAUUACCGGCUCAAUGAAAUCUCACUCCAUCCUAUCAUAUGUUUUUCUCAUUUCUGUCUUUAUCGCCAUUCACUUAUGACGUCGACCUGGAUUCGUUCGCAACACAUGGAACAUCUCUUGAGAUAUCAAUAUAUUAUAUGUAAUAUGCCUCCGAGGGACAAAGGCCACCUGAGUUUCAGAGAUUAGGUUAGGCAGGAUCUUCCUCAGAUGCUAGCAUAAGAGCUUUGAAAUAAUCUUUUAGUUAACAUUGCACAUGCUGAUCAGUCUAAAAUGGUGUCAUUUAUUGAGGUUGAUCAAUCUUUGGGAUAAUAAGAAUGUUCGUCUAAUUAAGUCUUGGUGCAUUUAUUCCAUGAAAAAAUCAUUGCCCAUAUGGGUCAGGUCUCAUUUGAAAUUUUCCCAAAAUUUUUCAUAAAAAGUGCGCUAUACGAUCAGGUCCGGGUGCCUUUUUAGGUGCAUUGCAAAUAUAACUCACUUAACCUCCCACUCUGAAAUUCGUUUUGUCAGCUCAUCAUUCAUAGCAACAGUAAUAAAUGUGCUAACACUAGAUAGAGAUUCAGCUAUUCAUGUUGGAUUUGAUGAAUCAAAAAUCUCUCUAAAAUAUUUAGUAGCAAUGGAUACUAAACCUUCCUCAUAUUCUAUUUGAUUUCUAACAUCAUAUAUUAACAUGAUUAUCUGAUUCCUUGCUCGUCCCUGUUUAGUACUAGUGAAAAAUAAUUUUGAAAUUCUAUCCCCUUACCGGAGCCAGAGCACCUGACUCUCCUGUUUCCUAAACAUACUCUAUAUUUAAAGCAUAAUCAAUAUUUUCAAAGCCUUCGCAAUGUUCACUGUUGUGGCAUAUCCACUCAAUCACUCGAAUAUAAGUUAUCCACCUUUUCCUUGAACUCUUCCACUUGUUUUUCAGAGUUCUGGACAUUCUCAUAUUCAUUGACUCAAGCCCUCCUACAACUGAAUACUUGAUCUAUGAUCGUGGUGUUUUGAGGAAGGUAUGUGUAAUUCCAUCCAUCGGUAAAAAUACGCUUGAUAUCCUCAUUAUCUAACCAACACUUAUCAAAUAUAAAUGUUUUCUUCAUUUUGAUUGGACUGAAUAUGUUGGAUGGCCAGACUCACAUGAGGAUAUGAGGAUGUUGAUGGUCAGACUCGCAUGAUCAACCUCAACCUCAACAUUUUCCAGAACAUGUCGAUGGUCAGACUCGCAUGCGUAAGUACUGAACAGAGGAAUGAGGAUAUUUGUCAUGCCAAAUUGUAUUCCCUAAAGCCCAAAACGAGAUGCUUACAUAUUGAUCAAAAAGUUAAUUUGUUCGGCAAGAUUUUGAUGUUCCCAUUCAAGAAAAAAUGUUUAUAACAUGGUGUAGCCUACUCUUAUUAUAAUUAUUAAACUUUACAUGUCGCCUAAUCAAAUAACCUACAAGUUGUCUAUAAGUUAACAAUAUAGUUUUGUUUUCAUCUAACAGUAUAGUUGCUAUUAUAAUAAGUUUUAUUUUUAGUUGAAUUAAGAUAACCACUUGUUGACGAAAGAAAAACUUAAUCGACUUUAAGAAACCCUAGUACCGAUUGAAGUGAUAUAAAUUAGUGUGACAAUCCAAAUCGUAUAAUCCUCCGGUUCAUGGUCAAACCGAUCUACCCAGCGGGGUUCUGUCCGGAUUCUUGUAUGUAAGGUUCAAACCGGUCCAAACCAAUCGGUUUAAAAAAGCAGAGAGUCUUAUUAUAACUCCCGCUGGUCAACAAGACGCUAUCUUAAAGGUCAGCUCUUGAUGCCAUUCUCUCUGUCGACGACAACCACCACUCUCAGAUCUCCUAAUCCAAACUUUAGGUCUAAUCUCCAACCCCUGAUUCAAUUUUUCCUUUUUAAAAUGUUUUUUAAUAUUUAAUUCCAAAUUAACUGUGAUUAAUUUGAUCUGAAUUUGAUUUACGAUCCGUAAAAGAUCGAGAAAAUCGAGAAUGUCGACGCCUCCUGUUCUCUCGCUUGCUCUGCCUUCAGACACUGGUCGUGUUCUUAGUAUCCAAUCUCACACUGUACAGGUUCUCUUCUAAAUCUCUCCUACUUUACGAAAUUUCUGUUGAAAGUUUGUGUCUGUUUUUGUAAGUUAUCGCUUGUCUUAUCAUUACAAAACAGAGAGCGCAUGUUACUUACUCGUGUGCUUUUGAAUCUUAAUUUGGGUUUAGAUCAAUAAGCUAAUAUUGUGUUGUGUUUAGAUUCAUCUUAAAUAGGUUUAGUAGUGUGAUAUGAUUAUUACAAGAUUGAAGAUUUCUAAUUUAGUUACUGGAUAAUUUAGAAAAGCUCCACACUUUAUUUUAAAUUGGGUGUGUAAGAACCAUUGAUUGGUUUGUUGCUAUAUGUGUGAUGCCGUUUACACAGGGAUAUGUUGGUAACAAGUCAGCUGUGUUUCCUCUUCAAUUGUUGGGGUAUGAUGUGGAUCCAAUCAACUCCGUACAGUUCUCGAACCAUACAGGUAAAGCCUCAGUCACAGUAAUGUAGAUAGGGUCUGUGAGAAACUUUUAAUAGUGUGUUGUUAUCAUUGGUAUAUGCAGGGUAUCCUACAUUCAAAGGACAGGUUUUGAAUGGGGAACAAUUGUGGGAGUUGAUUGAAGGCCUUGAAGCUAAUGAUUUAUUGUUCUACACUCACUUAUUAACAGGUAGCAAUUUUAUUAAGAAUUUUUAUUUUCACAGCAGCGGACUUUUUUUAUUUUUAUUUAGCUCUUAGUUCUUUAUUUUUUUUUUAUGAAAUGCAUGCAGGCUAUAUUGGAUCUGUAUCUUUUCUGAAUACAAUUUUGGAGGUUAUCAAUAAGCUUCGUUCUGUAAACCCGAAUCUUACAUAUGGUGAGUGUAUUGUGGUACUCUUGGAACAAAUAUUGUAAUCAUUAAGGGCCUCUUAAAUGGAAUAAUUAUGCUAAUUAUAGUCUGCUCUUGUUUAGUAUGUGAUCCGGUGAUGGGUGAUGAAGGAAAGUUGUAUGUACCUGAAGAAUUGGUGCAUGUUUAUCGUGAGAAGGUAAAACAAAACCUCAAGAAACAAAGUGAUCGUGUACUUUCGAUUUGAUUUUUUGAUAAUCUACUUUUAUAUACUACCAUUUUCUCAGCAUAUACGAUUCCUUUUUCAAGUUCACAUAUUUUUUUUCCAAACUGGCAAUCACAUCUUUAGAUAUAACAGUAGUUGAUGUGGACUCUCCUCAUGGUAAUCUUUUGUUGUUAGGUAGUUCCCCUGGCUUCUAUGUUGACUCCUAACCAGUUUGAGGCAGAAAAAUUAACAGGACUAAGGUACUUGUUUAUCCCCAAAACCAAAACUUGCAUUUGUUUAAUCUAUGAUGUAUCAGAAAUGGAAUCUCCUUUGAAGUGUUUUGUUCUCGAUCUCUAGUUUAUGCACCAGAGUUUAUAUCUUUUGCAUUUUAUGAAGUUCACGCUCUCUUGUCUUGUUAUGGCUCCAAACAUCACACAUUUCUAAAAAUAUUUACAGGAUAAAUUCUGAGGAAGAUGGCAGAGAAGCUUGUGCUAUUCUUCAUGCAGCUGGUCCUUCAAAGGUUUGUUUCAUUAACCUUGCUGUCUUUUCUCUACUGAUUACAUUCGUGAGAGAUGUGUUUCCAUAUAAAUAUAUAAUUUAGUGUUGGAAGUUGGUUAUAUCCAUAUUUAAAGGUUGAGAAUCUUCUUGGCGUAUGUUAUCUGUUUCUACAUAAAUUCAAUGGCUCUAAUGUUUGGCAGGUGGUGAUCACUAGCAUCACUAUAGGAGGCCUUCUAUUACUUAUUGGAAGCCAUCAGAAAGAAAAGGUAUUUUACUGGAACAACAUCAAGAUAUUCUAAAUCUUUAUCCGCCUCAGUAUCAUUGUAGAUCAAAUAGAAGAAUGACUUUUCUAGUGAACUGAUCUUAGUGUUUCAACUUCAGGGGCAGAAGCCUGAGCAAUUCAAGAUUUUGAUAGACAAAAUCCCUGCGUAUUUUACGGUAUUCACUUGAUGACUUGAAGAACACAUUCAAAUAUUAUCAUAACACUAGCUUAGGUUAUGUAAAGAAGAUACAUUCCAUCUGAAUACGUUUGCUAGUGCUGGCAAAUGGAAUCAUUUGGUUCCAGUGGCUAAAAAAUGCCAAUAGGCUACCUGUGAAAUGCUAAAAAUGAUGCACUUUCUUAAACACCACCUGCAGGGAACAGGGGAUCUCAUGACUGCUCUUCUACUUGGUUGGAGUAAUGUAAUAAUGCCUCUUUUAUUUCCAUGUGAAAAGAAAAAUAUUCUCUAUCGUUUUUCCUUAUACUAACGUUUCUUGUUAAUAAUUAUAAUAAUAUCCAGAAAUACCCUGAGAGUCUUGACAAGGCUGCCGAGCUUGCAGUUUCAACGUUGCAGGUAAUCUUCUAAACUUUAUAAAGUUACUAACUUCUCUUACAAUGUCACAAAGUUCUUGAGGCUCUGCUGAAAUAUGAUUCAAUCUUUGUUACUGUGAACAGGCGCUUCUGCGAAGGACGCUUGAUGAUUACAAACGAGCCGGGUAUGAUCCCACCUCAAGUAGCUUGGAGAUUAGAUUGAUACAGAGCCAGGACGAUAUUCGAAACCCAAAUGUUGAACUGAAAGCUGAGAGAUACAGGUGAAGCAGGUGAAAAAAUGUAACAUAUUUUUAUCUUAAAAUAAGAAAACAUAGAUAUGUUUAUGAGGGUAAGGUAGUUGAGAUCUCCUUUUUGGGGAUACAACUGUACAAUUCUUUUAUACAAUAUAAUACAGUUCAGACUUCAGAGUAAGAGGAUUUGAAAGAGCUCAUAUCAUGCAUUUAAAAUAACACCAUUAAACGGAUCCUUGUUUAGGCUAUCUUGUUUUCGAUGAUCCUUUUUCUUUGAUAUUUGCUCAUUUGCAUGCAUUUUUUUUUCUCUAUCUGCUCUGAACGAUGCCAUCACCAUCUAGAAACGCCCUGUAGACUUCAUUCAUUACCCAUUCCUGAGUUUUCUUCUGUUUCUGUCAUCCGUAUGUCUUGUAGUAAUCUUGUUUGCAGUUUCAGACAAAUGUGUCCUUGUGCUUUUAUUGGUCUUUGAAUCUGAAUAAUAAACCUGCACGUCCCAACUUAGCACAUAGAGGCGAAUGAUCAUUGCUUGUGUUGGCAAGAGAAGUUUUGUGAUUCACGGACACUGAAUCUGGUUAAAAUUUGCAAAAUCAAAUAUCAGAUAAGGCCCAUUAAUGACCAUAACCAUGGAGAUUGAGAUCAUGGGAAAUGUGAUGAUAGCUUUUAGAUUGAUACCACUAGGUUCUUAUUAAUGGCUAAUGUGGUGACAAACACACACUUAACCAACAUUGAAACAAUAUAAAGCUCUAUACUACUAGUCUAUUGUGCUUGAAAUAAAGAGGUGAAACACACACAUAUCUUAAAAACUGUCUUCAGUCACUAACUUCUUCAGUCAGUAGUAGAAUCCAUUAAGUUGCCUUGCGCUGAACUGUUCCUGAUUCAUAAACUGUGGAACUAGAGAUGGACCGUUCAUCAUCUGACCGUGGAAAGAUCUCUCAUUCAUCAUCGUAUUAUUAGAUCUUCCUGGAAUAUGCAUGUUCAUUGUUUCUGCUGCAGGGUAUGCAUUAGAAUAUCCAAGAUCCAUGUCCCUCAUCAGAUUUGGAUGCACCUCUUCAUCAUAGUUGUGUCUUUGCGCUGUUUCUCCAAACAGCUCCUGGAAAUCUUCAGAAGAAUCGCUCAUCUGAAAGUAGUCUGCCUCGUUCAUCAUCACAGGUUUCAUGUUGUUCGCCAUCAUCAUCUUCAUCAUCUCUCCAUCGCUUUGCCUUUCGUAACUUGGGACAUUGUUAAAGUGAUUGUUUCCGAAGUUGUAUGGUGCGUUCCUCAAGCUUCUGUUGUCAUGAUGAUUACCAUGGAAAGGACUCAUGAACAAAAGCUCUGCAUACUUUCCUCUUCUGUUCAACUUCGUGACCAAAAUCUCUGGAUCCAAGUUACCUCUAACAAUCACUGCUUGUUGAUCUGUGUCUAUAUCAACAGAGUAAACACCUGAAACCAAGAUCCAUAAGAAUCAAUGCUUGGGACCAACAUACAAGAACAAUCCAUUACAAAGAUCUGCAUCUGAUCAAAUCUUAAGUUACAGAGAAGAGACACUCUCACCUUCAACUUUUCUCAAUGUUUUCUUCACUUUCCUAUUACAUCCAUGGCAGUUGAUGUUAACCUUGAGAAAAUAUGUCUGUUGCAUGAAAACCUAUAUUAAAAAAAAAGCGUUUUUCUCCAAAUGUUGAACCUUAAAGGAAAAAAUAGAAGAUGGAUUUUUGUACCUUCAAAGGUUCAUAAACGUUUCUUGGCAUUCUUGAUUUCUCCAUUGAACCUUUCUUUAACUUCUUUUAUUUUGUGCGUUUGAACUAUUAACAAAGAAAGUGUGGUAUAAGAAGAGGAGUAAAGAGAGAUGCACAUAAAGAUAUGGAGAGAGAGGGACAAAGAUUCUGGUGGACAGAGAAAAUAUUGAAUUAGUCAGCUUUCUAACAGGUGAGUUUCAGAGGACAACACACCACUUUCUUGUGAUGAAGAGAGAGUUUCUGUUGGUCAACGAUCAUAAGCUUUAAGUGUCAAAUAUCAUGUUCGAAUUUAAGAGUUGAGAAAAAUAAUACAAAAUACAAAAGAAUUGGAAUAAGGAGUGAAGGACCACUUCUAAGAAACUGGCACUGCAAAGCUUAAUUAAAUGAAAUAAGCGGCUACAGACAGAGCUUUUAGUGUUUUUCUUCUGUUUUUGGUCAUUACUUCUUUAUCAAGCAGACUUUGGUUAAUAACUCGAGUGUAGGUAGUCGUACCAUCUUCAGUUUUUGUCUUUUUCAACGUUGUCAAGAAUGGUAUGACCGUUAAAAAGACUUUCUGGCAAGUCCGGUUUGCAUCAAGUUUUGAACUCUAACUUAACCGUUAUAAAUGACUAAAUUUGCUGGAAUCGGUAAAUUGGAUUGAAUGUCGAAACCGGUUCACUAUAUAAAUUUGCAUAUUGACUGGUUUGCAAUGUUACCAUAUAUAUUAGGCAUGGCAUUCGUUUCUUCAGUUCGGGGCACUUUUUUUAGUGUUUAGAUAUUUCAGGUUUAAAGAUAAAUGUAAGGUGGCUAUAAAAUCAUAGCGAAGAUGUUCUCAGUUUUAGUCACCAGUCAGCCUUUGUGCCAAAAAGCCAUCUCGGAUAAUGUUAAUUACCCAUGAUACUAUAUUAUAUCACGCUUUUAGAAGUCAUAAAACAUUGUUCGAUGGUGGUAAAACUGACAUGAGCAAGAUGUAUGAUCAUUGAAUGACAUUUUUCUUCAUGUGAUGUUGCUCGAACUUGGUUUUAGUAUCACUUAGAUCACACAGAUUAUUGAGUUUGUGACAACAGUCACAUACUCUUUUCUCUCUAGUGGCUCACUACAAGAAAAGUGAUAUCUACGAAAGGUUUGCAGCAGAGGUAUCCAUUUUCUUCUUACUUACUUAUCAGCACAUAAGUCCUAUAACAACAAGAAUUUACUAAAUCAGCUGCUGAAAAUUUGUAGCUAUCAGACACAAUUUGUAAGCUAAAAUCAUGCUAGCAACGGAUAGCAACAGAUCAAUUCCUUGGCCUCAGCUCCGUAACUUAUGACGGAUUAGCGAGAGCAGUUUCCGUAGCCAAUAGUAACAAUAUGGCUAUGACUUGUUUCAUUUCUAAUUAGUGAUGACUUUAGCUACUGAUUUUUUUUUUUUUUUGUAAAAAACUGUAGCUAUAUGGCUACAAACAUUAGCAAUAAUUGCCUUAGCAAGUCAGUAGCUACAUUUGACAUAAAUUUGGUUACAAAUAUAUGGUUUUAAAUUUAUAAAUUAAAUUAUAUAAACUAUAAUUUAACCUAAAAUAUAUAAACAUAGAUCAUAAAAAUAAAUCUUCAAUUAUUAUAAAAUAUGAGGAUUUUAUACAAAACAACAACACAUUUUCAGUUGACCACAAACUAACUGGUUGCGAUGAUAAGAUAGGAAAUGUCUAUUUGGUUGAAGUUGAGUACACUUGAAUUCCGUCUACUUUCACUAGGUGCACAAACUUGGGACAUAAAGAGAAAAUAUGUCGUUUCCCUCCCAAUUUAUCAACUUCUCGAAGAGUAAAAUCUUGAGAGUUAAUGAAUAAAGUAUAAAUCACCCGUGUCUAUCAUUUCAUCACCUAAAUCCACAACCUCUCAAAAGAAAUUGGCUGCCAUUCAUGAUACUCAACUUCAUUCUCACGUGUAAAUCAUACGUGAUCAAGAAAAAAAAAAUGGAACAAUCUACUAAAGAAGCAACAACUAUUCAACAAGAAGCUACUUCACCAUUUCAAUAGUUACACUCUCCUCAUUAUGAGUCUACUUUCUCACCAUUAGGAGGGGACUCAUUUUCUCCAAGUUACAAAAAUAUGGAAAAUACUCCAUACAACAUGAUUAUCACCAAAUUCGUUUCAAAGAUGAUGCUUCAAUUGAUUCCCAUCCAGCCAUAAACACCACCAUCAAUAUACAAGAUUGUGAAUUAGACAUGACUCACAUGUUCAAGGGGUGGGAGGUCAAUUAAACCGACCCAAAAGGUUCAAGAAAUGGAGUGGACAAAAGUUAAUGGGAGAUGAAAACAUGUCUCGAGAGGACGUGGUAACCUUAACUAUUAAUACUAUAUUUGCUUUUCUUCCAAAUACAGCUUAAUGUCUAUUAGACUAUUCAAGGUUUUGUACUCAUCAUCUAUGGUUUUUCAUCAUACUUGUUAAACUAUAUGGUCUUAAAACCAUAUUGGUUAUAUUUACUUUAAUGCAUCAAAUUAGUUUUUUUUUAAACAUUAAAGUCGAGAUAAAUAGAGUUUCCAAUGCACAACUAAGCAGAUAGGACAUCUGAGAACAUCAAGAUCCACCAAGGACGAGCAUGUUGUCUACUCUAUACAUGAGACAACAUCUGUAACGAUAUGUUAAAGUUUCAUGGGUAAAGAAAUAAACACUAGCAGAAAUAUUUGAUAUAGUCACAAACUAAGCAGCAUAAAAAACUGGUCACCAUCAUAUAUAGACGAUACAAUUUUUUUUGUGACUCGCCGUAGUUCUUUGUCAUAUAUCCACAUAAUUUGAACUUUAGUCACAAAUAUAUAUAUAUGGUUAGACACUGUUUUUACUAAUUCUAAAACACAUUCUUGCUUCUUUUUGGAAAAAAAUGAUUGCCAGUUAUAGGAACAUACAUCACCACAUAGACACACAUUUGAAAAAAAAAACUAAUGAUGAAAUACUUAAAUAUAUCAAUCACAUUACAAUAACCUUGAACUAAUAUAUGUUUUAUGCUACUAACACUAUAUAUCAACAUAAUUCUAAUAGCCAUUAGAGUAAAUCGAACUUAAAUCCAGCAAUUUCUGAUGACAUUUAACUGUUCUUUGAUGUAUAACAUUGAUUUUGUAUACUUGAUCUACUUGUGUUCAUUUUGUUUUUGAUCAUUUGGAUAUAUAUUAUGAUCCGUUUCUCAAAAGAUAAUUCACUGGAUGGUGCCAAAUUUCAAUCCAGCCCAUUUUUCAAGUUUCAAAUUAUAUUUAUGGUGUUAGAAACCUAACACAUAUUAGUUCAGUGAUGUCAUCAUGCAAUUCAUAUAAUUCCUGUAGUUUUCAAUAUAUUGGUUUUUUUGCAGAUGUGUAGCCAUGUGGUGGUGCGUUUCAUGUACCUAUCAAUCACUAUUUAUUUAUUUUUCUCUCUGAUCUUUUCGAUGAUGAAAUUUUUUUCUCUUACUGUUGAUUCACAGUAGAAUUCAUAUGUAUAAUAUUGAGAUUGCCAGUUUUACGAAUCAGUUGUACGCGCAUUAGGGAUAUGGUGCACAUCAUGAGAUAUGCACCAUAUGAUAUGCUCAUAAUCCAAUUAAGAAUGCAGGGAGAAUCUGGCAAAUAUGAAAGUCUCUUCAGGGUUUGAGAGAUCUCACGUCAAGAAGUAUCUUCCGCUUUGGUUAUCAAAUAAGAAUCUGUCCAUCAUCACUGUAGGAAGGACGAUAUGAUAGCUUCCUUAAUCCUGGAGUAGAAGGUGCAAUGCGUCUAAUAGUACCAUCUCCCUCCCUACAACACUUAGUCCUAACUAUAUUCUCAUAAUACUAAGAAAAUGGGCCGUUCAAACAAAAGAGACGAGAUAGAUAGAGUUUCCAGAGAAACAACUAACCAGACGAAAAGCAGGCGAUAUGCUAAUCGUCACUCAUGUUCGCAUUAUAUCCAUAUACGAAACUAUCAAGCUCGUCAUAAUUAAAUUUGAUCUUAGUUCAUCAUGUCAAAGUUACAUCGUAGUUAAUGAAAACGGGAGCAUUAAAUCGAUCAGACAAGGUAGAUAGAGAUAUCAUAAGAAUAUCAAAAGCAAAAAUAAAAAGACCAAUCUUGUAUAUCAGAUUACAAGAGAGACACAAUGUCUGAUUGAGUGAGAAAUGGACUAGUUGGUAAUUAAUCUUCAACGAUUUACCAAACAAAAAAAUUGUUAGGAACAAACAUGAAACUCUGUUCAUACUUAGAGAUUUAAGAGCUUACUUCAAGAACACUCUUCGCUUCUGAUGAGGACCUUUUAUAUCGUACGUUUCAUCUCUUUUUCCUUCUUGAUGCAAAUCCUCAUCUCCAACGAUUCACCAUGCAGUGAACUGUUACGAAUCAACAUAUAAUUCUCUGUAGGUGUAUGAAAGCUCACUCUCUGAAUCUUCUUCAACUCUGGUGAUUUGUAAGUUAUACUGAGUCCAUGCACUGUAUAAGUUAUACAAUAUGAGAACUUUCCUGCUUUUGGAGAAGAUGGUGCAAUGCAGCUUACAGUAACAUACACACCAUUAGACUUCCUGAAACUCUGCACUGUAAACAAUAGCCUCUCCUUAUACAACGUACCGAUUACUAAGUUAUCACUGAUAUUCAUCUUGACACAAAAGGAUUCGCCACAACGGACCCUAUAGCGCUGUGAUGUUGAUUGGGGGUUCUUGUGGAUAAGUUUUUUAUAGUGAACGUAGACAUCCUUGUAUGAGCCAAUGUAAUUGCAAUCUUGUACAGGGCAGGAGCAUGGAGAGAAACUGCACGUAUUUUCAUGAGUUGAUUCUUCCCCAUAAGUCAAUUUUUCGGUGCAUCCAAACUCGGCGUUUUGGCAUGGGAUAGAGGUCGACUCAAGAACAGUCUCCAAUGCUCUGCAGCGACUGUGGCCAACAGGCCAAGCACAGGAAGGGCAUUUAUUACGCAGUUUGGGACAGCAAGAGGAGCAAGCUAAGUGCCCAUUAUCACACUGAAAUACAAAACUAAUGAAUUAUAAUCAAAGCAGCAUCAAAGUUAUUCUAGUAGAUAAUCACAAAAUCAAAUAUCAUCAGAAACAACAUGAAUCCGUAACGCAAAAUUCGAAGAGUAACCUGGAAGAUAGGAAUAGUGAAUGGCUCGAUGCAAAUAGGGCAACUGAGAACAUCAAGAUUAAGUAUUCCUGUGCGUGGUUUAUCCUCUGUGCUUGAGACACACUCCAUGACGAUAGGUUUCGGUUAGGUUUCUUGGAUAGGAACGUGGUUUUUCCUCUUUAGUCGGCCGUCAAAUUCACAAUCUUCGAACACAAACAUAUAUAUAUACCAAUUGAGAUUUUCGAUUCCACUAGGAAUAGUCAAUUUCCUUAUGUAAUAAGGAAUACGAGUAAUUGUCAUUAAUUAUGCCUUUUUUUCAUUGUUCAGUUCUUUAGGUUUUUUUUUUUUGAAUCCAAGGUGUUUCAUUAAUUAUUCCUUUUUUUCAUUGUUUAGUUUUUUUUUUUUUGGAAUCCAAGGUGUUUC
rnacentral:lncRNA from 1 species